UCCAAAACAUUGAUACAACAUUAAGCACAAAAAUAAGGAUAUUGCAAAACCUAACAAAAACAUAAAAUCAGCACUGAGCAAAUACUUACCAAUCGAGCGGAAAUUAAACUAUAUUCAAGCCAGAACACAUUUAUACUGAUAAUAAACAAAUAUACAAAAAUAACUCAGGACUUUUAGCAUCUUCGGGGAGACAAAAUAACUCAGCUGCUGCCUGCUAGUGACAUCUGCUGCUGGCCGGAGAAGUGGAGAUUGGAGAAGAGAGUGAGGGGAAGAGGCAGAGAGCGAGAGACGGGUGACUGGUGAAGGCUGGAGCAGAUUGGAAACCUAAAUUUUCAACAUAUAUAUCUCUUGGUACAAAAUGUUGAAUUGAUUGUUGCAAUCCAUGACUUACAUGCUGAGCAUGGUCUCUGCUGUGCUGGUGAGGGUGGCGAAGGGGAGGAAGGAACAUUUCUUAAAUUUGCAAUAAAGCAUCUCUUGCCUUUGGACAUGAAGCUUAAAUCCAACUUAAACUCUUCCAACAUUGAAGCAAUUCAACAUGAUGAAGAGCUUUAUUGCCCGAACAAAACAUCUAAAGUGGAGCCAAUAUCAAAUACAUUGGGAGUGGAGAUGGGUGCAGCUGAAAUGGAUGAAAUAAGUGCUCCUGCGAAUGAUGGUUUUGGAGGAAAUUUCUUACGAAGUUAUAUCAUCUCCUGCAGGACUGGAGAACGACAGUGCAAGUGUAGAAUGCAGAAGCGGUGAUGGGGGCAAGAACAAAGGAGACAAGCCGAUACAAUGUAUCGAUGAACUUAAUGAAGAUGAAAGGGAGGAACUUGAGUUACUAAUUGAUAAUGCUUUGGAUCAGUGUUUUUUCUGCUUACAUGGUCUCAACAUUCGAUCUGAUUCUUCUAAUGAUGAUGAUGAUCUAGCCACUCACAAAAAUACUAGUCGUGGAGAUUAUCAGACCAAGGAACAAUGUGCUGAUGUUUUUCAGUAUAUACUGCCAAGUGCAAAGGCUUCAUCUGUGAUUAUCCUCUCUGUCAACUUCAUCUGUAUAUGCAUCUGUGCAUCAUUAUCAGACUUGUUUAAUUAUUGUCAAGGGGUCUGCACGUAACUGCAGUGCUUGUUUAUGGUAUCUCGUGCCUACACAAUAGUCUUUUCCAGGCAUAAUCAACCAUAGAAAUCCCAAGGCUCGUAUAAAUUUCUGAUUUCAUUCCUUGUUACGUUAUAUUUAUUUGAGUCUAUUCAUUGUGAAUAUUCCAUGCAUGUCAGAAUUGCUUCGUAGCACUCCUUUUAUAGAAAGGAAAAUAGAAGAAAUGACAGGGAAAUGUAUGAGCUAACUCCACAUGUAACUCAAUUCUGAGGCCCUAUCGAGCUAUGUAAAUCAACAAGGAAAGUCAUGUGUUGUAAUUUUUGCUUGAAGCCAAGUAAAUAAAUAUGAGAAUUAGUUUUGUU